GUCUAAUCUGCCCAAUGAUUUUUAUUUAAUGGCUGCAGUAUUUAUAACUGUACAAAGGUAGCAUAAUAAUUAGUUUUUUAAUUGAAAACUAGAAUGAAAGAUUAAAUGAAAUAUAUUCUAUAUAAAUAAAAUUAAAAAUUAAAAUUAAAAUUUAAGUAAAAAUUCUUAAAUUAUUUUAAAAGACGAGAAGACCCUAUAGAAUUUUAUUUUUUAUUGUUUUAAAAUUUAAUAAUAAAUUUAAAUAAAUAUUAAAAAAUUUGAUUGGGGUAAUUUUAAAAUUAAAUUAAUUUUUAUUUUAAAAACAUAAAUUAAUGAAUUUUUAAUC
rnacentral:rRNA from 1 species